AUGCUCAAGAGCAUCCAGAGUCGACCAAGCCUGACUGCAUGCAGUCACGUAAGGGAGUUUUGUGUACCCACUUCCAUGGACACUGAGUAUUCCUGGAGCCAGCCUCGUGCUCCUUUGGAAAGCCACAACGUUGAGCUGUGCGGCCAAGAACUUCAGGGGCUUCUUCAGUAAAAUAAAUAGUGGUGUUGGCCUUUUAA